AGUUGUGAGCCGAGGGCCAUUGCUGUGAUAGUAUGAGCCGAGGUAAGCUUAGUGCUACCUCUUUUCUUUUGUUUGUUAUUUUCUUUGAAUAAGAGGAUUGAAAGUUUCUGAAUAUUGUGAAGUGAAUUAUGGAAUGGAAAUGUAAUUGAUAUUAUUUGAGAAGAAGAAAGAUUGAAUGCUAAAAUCUGAUUGUAGUUCAGCAGAGAGAAUGAGUCUGUGUUUGUGUGAAACACUCUAAUAUGAAUGGCAGUUUUGUGUGAA
rnacentral:lncRNA from 1 species